UACUUAUUUCUUCUGUCUUUCAUCAAUCUUUUAGACCGAAAUUUACUUAUCUAGAAAUCAAGAAUCCUAAACAAGUAAUGCCUUUUGUUUUAGCUAAGUAAGUGAUUAAAAAUGUUAAACCAUGAUCCAACUCCUAAUUAGACUAUGUCCUUUAUUUUAUGUUUAUUCUUAAUCCCAUGAAUGCCUAUCAAUAUGCAGAGAAUAAUAUCAUUGGGUUAUUCCUUUUCUCCACGUCUAUCGUAAUGUCUAUCAUCUGUAAAAUUUAUACUUAAUACGAUCUAGGAAUAUCCUCAACCUCAAUUAUAAAGUAAUAGCAAGUCCUUAAUAUCGAUAGUACAUAAGCCAAUUGUUUCAUGUUCCAUCAAAGUUUUAAAAUAUAAUAUCAUCUUAUCUAUCCACACGUCUUUUGUUCAUUAGUCUUUUCUUAUUUAAAUUUCGCAAGAUAUUUUUUUUUUUUAAAUUCUUAAAUUUACCCAUAGUUUCUCGGGUUAGCACACUGCCACCUGGUGUUAUUAUCUAGAUCUCGACUGAGUUCAGGUAUUUCCUCCUUUCGCUGACAUGUCAAAAUUUUUAUCAAUUACCUUACGAUUUACUUCACUAGAUUCUUUCGUUCUCUUUUCUCUAAGGAUUUAAAUUUUAUUAAUUUAAUAUUUAUCGAAGAGCUCGGAGAAAUUAAUUGCCACAUGCUUAAAUUGUAUUUUAUUAAUAUAGCUUUAACUCCAAAAUAUCCCCUAGAGUUGACUAUUUCUCCUAUGAUCUAGCAACUACCCAAAAGUUUAAAUUUAAAUAUCACAUCCCUCUAGUUCUGAUUUGUCACAAGUCAUUAUAGUCUAAAAGGCAUAGCACUAAAAAUUUCAGUUCUUAACGUAUCUAUCUUUAAGUUUUAUUGAUUUCUAUUUCUUAUUCUUGAGAAAAUUUCUGCCUCACAGAUUUACUUGUACUAAUAGUCUACAAUACUAGCUAUCUCUUGUGAAUUUCAUCGAAUGUGUCUACUAACUAAGGAUUUUUGAGUAAUUUAAGAAUCCUCAUUUAUUAAUACUUCCACUAUACAUUGUUUCACUGACAGAUUAAUCGUUUAUUCAAAAUUCGACUAAUGAGUUGACGACUACACUCUAAGUCGACCAUCCUAUGGGUAACUAACCAUUACAGACAAUUUUCAAAGUAAUUUUCCUUUUCCACUUUUAAAAAUAUCGGCAUGUCACUCAUAUAUAACUUUGAAAUUCUUAUAAUCGAAAUUUGCAUCACACUUUUAUUUCCUUCAAAAACCAAUAUCAAUGGUAAUAUAAAAUAUUUUCGAAAAGUUUGAAAAUUAUUACUCAGUUUAUUUUCUAAAACCUUUUUGUAUUUAACAAAAAUAAAUUGUCUAUCUCCACGAGGACGAUCCUCAAGUCAUCUAGUUCCAGUCUACUGUUACAUAUUUCAUCUCUAAAUGAUCUCCUUAUACCAAGAACAUUCUAAUCUCUAUCAGUACUGUUACUUUCGCUAUUACUAGUCUAUUAAGUAAAUUGGUCCACACUUUAACUUUUUUUUUUUUUCAAAGGUUAUUGUUAUUUUAUGAUUAUUUUUUAUUUUUUAUUUAUAUUUAUUAUUUAUAUUUAUAUUAUUAUUUUAUCUUUAUUUGUAGUUAUUUAUUUGUUUCUAAUUAUUUAUUGUAGUAUUUCACAGUAGAUAAAUUAACUGACCAUAUUAUCAUCAUCAGCUUUUUACUAUUUAACAUCCCCUAGUUGUCUCCAAGUUCUUUAAAUUUUUUUUAUUAUUUUUUUUUUCUAUCUUUCUUUGAUCCUCCAUUCUCCUCGUAUAUGUCUUAUCCUUAAAAGAGUCUAAUUAUGGAUACAUGAAUCUAUGGCGUAAAACUAUCAUUCUACACAAAAUUUAAUUACAUCCUAAGGUCAUUGUGUCUUAGAUUCCAUUUUUCUGAUUUUUCAA
rnacentral:lncRNA from 1 species